GGAGAGAUGACAGAGAGGCCUAAUGUACCUGACUCGAAAUCAGGAGUACGAUUUUGUUGUACCGUGGGUUCGAAUCCCACUCUCUCCG
rnacentral:tRNA from 1 species